UUGUCGGAUUGGUGAAAGUUUCCUCAGGGUGAAUGAAUCAAGCGCACUCCUUGCUUGUACUCCAUUUCCUUUUCUUGGUCUCCAGCAGUAUAAUGGAGUGUGGUCCAUUGCGCUUGAAACUGUGUAGCAGAGGCAGCCACGUUGGUGCAAUACUUCCGCCCCAUUUAAAGGAGAAAAGCUGCCACAUGGAUCCAAAAUGGCGCUUGUUUCGCGGUGGUCGAAAUGGUAUACGCCCAACGAAUUAGAGCCAAUCAGAAUACUCGUUUUAUCCCCAAGCAUUUCCGUCCCGAAUGUCCACACGUCGAACCCAAAGGCCGCUCAAAAAGCGUUCGAAUGGGUUGGCGAAGAGGAUUAACCGAAACUAAAUAUGAUAUUGUGAUGCUAUACUUUGUGCCGAGCAAGUUUACCGCUGUGCAGAAGGACUGAUCAACGUACCGUGUUUGUGGUGGAGAUGAAAUAGCGACGCUGCACACACAUUUUCGUGGAUAUUUUAACCAUUUUUCUUGGACGUGUGUUUGUUUGUUCGCUCACUCGCAACAAGCUAGCGCUAGCCUCGACUCCCGUAGCUGCGAUGGUCGUCGCCAGUUAAUGCGGAUGUGCGGGGGCCAGAAUAUGCUGACCCGACGACGACAAAUGGGACCAUUUAUUGUCGACCUAAACCACCGAGGCAUUGACUAUAAUAUUUUUUAAAAACGUUUUCUAUUUAAUUUCGUGGAAUUAAAGCUGAGGAUUUUCUGGCAACUGUUGUUUUCAAGUUGGUUUUAUCCCACUGAGAUUCUCCCACAGCCAUGGAAUCGCUCUUGCUAUGAACAGGAGCUAUGGGGGACCAAGAAUUUCUGUCGGUCCCAUCUUCAUUGAAGGCACAGGUCUGGGCUCAUUUUGGAUUUUAUCAUCUCCCUGGGGAAGAACAGCUCGACAUGUCAUUCAGUAUGCAAGGUUUGCAAAAUGAAAGUGAAGUCUUUUCGAAACAGUACAGAUGCUCAUGCAUGCAUCGCAUUCUACCACCCAGAGUUAAAAGGAGCAACCCAGGCCUUCGUUACAUUCGCCGCUAACUACGUCACUGGCAGCUUGAGUCUUGUGUUUUACAGAUGAGGGUACAGAUGAUGAAAUGUUUCACUCUGUCGCCGAUGAAUGGAAGCUAACGCUCGCAGAAUAAAUUUGACCUAAAUUCUUACCUUUAUGAUAGAGAGGAAAAUGCAGCUAGCCUAAGCUUUUAUUUAGGCAACCCUUUUGUCCCUUUAAUCAUUUUGUCUGAAGUUUACCUUUGUGUUUACAUCAUUGGAAUCAGUUUAUUUGAAAGUUCAAAUACAAUACAUUCGUAUUACAGACUGUAUAAUAGUGUAAUCUGUCUCAUUGACACACUAAGUAGUCAUUUUGAAUCGAGAAUCGUUUAAAUCCAUUUUUAAUCGAAUCGCGACCCUGAGAAUCGGAAUCGAAUCCUGAGAUACCCACAGAUCCACAUCCCUAUUAAACAAUAUAUUUAGGUCAUGAUCUUUAAUGUAGACAUACUUGAUAACUAUAUUCUGCUAAAUUAAAUCAAAAUUCAAGUGAAUCUAAAGACUUAGUUUUGUUUAGACUGUCUUGGUUUUAUCUCUGUGCAUUAUGAAAUGGGCUCUAGUGUACUUGCAGAGCGUCAGCCAUGAGCCAAGUUCCCAUCAAAGAGUGGCUGCUGCACUAAAGGCUGUGUUUAGAUGUGAUGGCUAAUUUUAGAGCUGCUAGGCCCUUGUCCAAGGUGGAGGAGGAUAAGAUAACAUUGAAGCCCUCCCUCUGUAACAUUGUUUGAUUUUGAUUGUCCAUCCAGUAAACCUCCUCCAGUUGCAGCCAUCAGCCUUUCAUUCUAUUGUUAUGGUGUUUUUUUUUAAAGACAAAUUAUGUUUAAAAAUAUAGUUGUAUUUAGGGUUACUGGCUAAAAAAUAGGUUUUAUGGAUUGGAUAGCAAUAGCACUUUGUGUCGCUCAACAGAAGGCACCACUUUUCCAGGACAAAACUUUUAAUGUAAGGGAUGUAAAGUAAUUUCUGCAACAAUAUUUUAAUUAGAAAGGUCACAGAGACGUGUCUUCCAGCAUAUUCAACUAGUAUGUUGGUUAAAUUGUACACCAGGUUGAUAUCAAUAUUUGUAAUACAUCAUCCAAAUUUUAAAAUUUGAAUUAGUAAUUUCCAAAAAAACCAAAACAAUUCUUUUCAUAAAUAAAUAUGCCUUUGGUUAAGGAAACCACUCGAGAACAGCCUAAGAUGUGUUGGCACACACGGAGCAUCUUUGGUCCCUAUUCAUCAGUUUCUCACCAUAAUGGCAGUGAUAAUGGACCUUAUUCUUGUUUGUUUGUCAUAAAGGCAUCUGAUUUCAGGAAAGUAUGUCCCAAAUGUCUGAGGAUCUCUGAGUCAAUAGUUUAUUCAUUUGUUUUUUUGCCAUAAAUAUGAUUUACACACACACCUACAUAUACACACCAAACCAAUACCAGUCACGCUGUUACAAUUCUAUGUCGCCUGCAUAGCAUGCCAAACCUAUACCCAGACCAUGUGGCAAAGCCGUCCCUGUCUGGCCCCACUCCCCUAUUGCUCCCGCAGCUACAGAGCAGUGACCUUGGUUUCAAGUAGCUGUACUCUGUUAGAAAACCAACACCUCUCAUGGGAUGGUCUGACCUUGUUGUCUGACACACUGUAAGUCUGCACGCCCCUCUCUGUCUUAUCCUGUUAUUUUGUCUCACACACAUUAACAUUAACUGUAUAAACAAGUCAUUCUGCAUUGACUUUACUGUUGGAAAUCGGCACAUUGUAUUCUAGCAGAGCAGAUCUUAGAGUAGAUCUCGCUUGGUGUUUAUAUGCAAAUUCAAAAUAAAUAGGGUGCAGCAGGUUCAGACAUCAACCUAACCAGGUGUUUUUUCAUCAGACAACCAUCUCCCCUCCCAGUGAAAACACUCUUUUAUGAAGGCUUUUUUGUAGCAGGACACACUGUUGUCCCCUCCCUUUAUCUAUCCAAUUGCCUUUGAUUCUUUGCAGCUGUUCAGCUGUGGAGUGCAUGAAUGGGUCCAGGCAUGUAUUCUGAGUAUACUGCAUAUCCAUUUCAUCUACUAUGGGGAAUUUUUUUUGUGAUUUCCUGAACAUGGCUGCAGUAUAUGGCCAGAACAGCAUCACAUGGCUAUCAAAGCAUAACACAAUUGCUUACUUCUGAGGCCCUUUUUAUAUCCACCUGUGAUAGAAGUUGUUUUACACUGUUUUCAAUUUAAAUCAAAAGAUCAGCUGUAUACCAUCUUGUCAGAAAAACCUAAAUGCAGUAUUUGUGCAAGUGUCUGAACAGAGGUUAUCUUACCAGGGUAUUUGUUGCACAAGAAUACUUUGAGUUUGAGAGCUGCUUGUGGUUGGACCCCCUUAGACAAUAGGUUAGAUACAUAAUGUCCCAUUAGUUAAAUUACUUAAAUAAACAUACAGAUACAGGGCAUAGAAUGUUUAACAUUAAUAAAUAUACGUAUAUAUAUAUAUAUAUAGAGAGAGAGAGAGAGAGAGUAAUGUGUGCACAACUGCUAUAUAUGUGUAGUUGUGCAUAUAUAUAUAUAUAUAUAUGUGUGUGUGUGUGCACAACUACUAUAUAUGUGUAGUUGUGCACACGUGUGUGUGCGCACAACUAAUUCCAAGCCAGUUAGAAAGAAACGCUCUCCUGCCCCUUGCAUACUGCGUUGUGAAAGCCAUGUAAAAAUACCCGCUCAUUGGUUUUGUUAAGGUUACACGUAGUUAUGUCUGUGUGCGCCAAUGUCGUGUGCAGAAUUAGGGUUGGAGCCAAUAACCAGCCAGCACAACAGCUGAGGAAGCAGAUGGGAUUUGACUUAACUCUUCCUCUGCCACAGUGUCCUGCUGGCCUUCUUCCCUGAACCUGUGUUGUACCUCUUUAUACAGUAGAGUGAUAAGUUUGUUUGUACCUGCUUGCAUGUGAAUAUGUGUGCAAUAUUAGGCAAAGAAAACAAAGCUAGAAUUGAGCUUGAAUGUAUCCACCGUUCCAUUACAAUAAUAAGUUUACUUAAGUGUGUUGAUGUGUUAAACGCUCCAGAUGAAAAUGGCCCUAAAGUACAUUUAACACCAAACCGAGGCCAGCGCAGGCUUGUCAGACAUCUGAAAUUUUCUGUUUAACCAGGCAAAACUGCGUUAGGGAUAUCUGCAAUACAUAUCCAGCUUAGCGUUUAAAUGUUAAAACCGUUUGCCAUAAGUACCAACAUGUCAGCGGUGUGGAGGUAUUUCAAAAUAUCUGAGAAAAACCCCUAGAUAGCGAUUUACAAAACAUGUGAUGCUGAAAUUUCAAGAGGAGGGGAAAAGUAGUACUUAUUUUCACAGUCUGCCAGCACACGUUUCACUGAGAUCUAUUCGGAUCUCCUGCACUCGUCACAACUGUACUUCAUUUGCGAUAUAAAGAUCAUUAUGCACGAUAAUGGUACAGGACACUAUGGACGCAGAGACGGAGAAGCUCACAGCGCAGCAGAAGGAGUGGAGUGUGCCAGAUGAGGGGCAGGCAAUCUCGUUGUCUGAUAUGUUCUGUUAAAUCCUGUAAGAGUGUCUCAAAUAAUAAUAAUGUGCAAGCUACUCUGUUCUGACUACCUAUGUGACCAACAUUUGAUUUUAUUUCCUUGCUAAACAUUUGACAAUUAAUUAGUUUGACAAUUAUUAAUUUAUGCAAUCACAGUGCCUUGGUUUUAUUGAGGCUUAGUACACAGUCAUAGCCAUAAAUGCAAUGAUACUAAUAACUGGCAUAAUAAUUUCUUUCGGUGUUUUCAGUUUUGGACAAAAUUUCAAUUUCGAUGCAUCACUAGUUUAAGUUGGUUGUCUUGGUCAUUUGGCUAACUGUUUGGUCUACAGAGGUUUUCUGUGGCAGUGAACUUGCUAUAGUGACAGAAGUGAUUUGUUUUUGCACAAUUUCUGUGUAACCACUAAGACUGAUGUUGAUCAAUUUUAGUGUACUAGACAUUUGUAUUGGUUAAUGUUUUUGGUACACUAUGUAUUUUUCCCCCUGGUGUUUAUUUUUCUUUCCUGGGGUAGGUGCACCUCUUUAAUUCCAUAGGUCCAUACGGCAUUAAGUUUGUCAGUACACAGAACUACAGAGUUAAUAACAGAGUUGUUUCGGUAUUUAAAGGUGUGAUUCUGGGAUGUGAAGUGACUCGUGUUAUUGUUGGCUGCAGUUGAUGACUGACGCAGCUGCACACAAUAGGUAAGAUGAGAUGAGAUGUCUGACCAUUAUACGUUUACUAGCUAGCUAGGUAAUUGUUUCUUAUUUAGUUUAUACCUCCCUUUAUCCUGCUCUCUUUUAUACCCUUUUACAAAGUACAGCUCUACUGUACCAGCAAGUCAUUCAGUGCACCAUCAUGUAUUUAUAUUUAUUUAUUUCCUAACAAAUUCAUUUAAUUUCAUCAGUGAUGAUAAAGCACAACCAUAAGCCAAAAUUCCUUCCUCAUGUAAUUGUAUUUGGAUCCUAAACCAAUGUACUUGUUGUACCUGUAACCUUGAUGGAAUAUCAGUAGCUAUUUUGUCUGUGAAUUAGGAUAGAAAGACGAUGAUUCUAAGAGACAACUGAAAUAAUUGGCCAUUGUUGUGUUUUAGGUUUAUGGUUCUCUGUCUAUGUUUUUCUGUUCUCUGCUCCUCUAGACUUUUGAUAAUUACCAGCAGUUCAUCCAAAAAGGGAUGUCAUAUCACAAGCAGGUCAAUUGAUAUAUUGAGGUCAUAGUGUUGAGUGAAUGUUUGACCUAACAACCUAAGCAGCAUAUCUUUUGUAUCAAUGCUGUUUAGAAUCUUCAGUUACUACUGUUUGGCCUCAAAGUGCUUCAUGCAUCUGGUGCAUGUUACUAUUUGACUGUUGUUGCGUGUCUGCUGUUCAGACUAAAAGCCUCUCUUGUGUAUCAUCGCUGCAUGUCUGCAGAGUGAUUUCUUUUAGUGCUUUAUCUUUCCACAUCUGUCAUGAUACAACCCAAUUACUUUUAAAAAAUACAAUGACUUAAUUUAAAUGAGCUCCCCUCUGGGGUCUUUUGAUUUGCCCUGAGUGUUCUUAGUGGUGCAGAUAGGCAAGCAGAGCAGUAUACAAAAUAAAUGGAGUAAGAGGCUGUUGUUAAAAAUGAAAUAAAAAGAUUGGUGUUUUCAUUGAUGGAGCCGAAGUUUGCCUUUUAAUGGAUUUAACUCCUCAUCCAAAGACAUUUUUCGUAAGUCAGCAGGUUGAUUCUCCCGUAGUGUCUGCUUUUUAUCACCUAUAUAGGGCUUUUACUAAUCCUUCAGGAAAGAGUCUGUUCUGCCGUUCUUGCGUAGUAAGUUCAGCUAUGUCUGCUCAUGUAUUUUAAGCAUUGCCUCGUAGCAUUUAUGACCUGUGAGCCAAAAUUUAAUGACACUGUUUUCAUCACCUCAUAAGUCACCAGAGUUUGAAAACAGUUGAAGAAAACUGAGUAAAAAUGCAAGUAUUGGUCAUUGUUUAUGAAUCCACUCAUAGUUAGUUCUAUUUGUAAUAGAAUACUUUGGUGAAUAAAUACAACAAGCAAAUACUUGUUUAAUCAGUUACUAUAUUUACACAUACUAUAUUUUAAGCAUAUUCCUCAAAUUUUUACUUCUCUUUCACAUUUUUUCUUUUUUUUUCUCUACCAGAAGGAAGAGUGACUCAUUCUUAUCCACCCUCCCAUUAAGAGCAUUUGUGUGCUAGAGAAUCUAGCAGCAUGUUUAGCGUGACAGUGAUGUGUUCAUAUUAGACACCAGAGAUUUAACUGAGUGCUUCUCUUUUCUUUGUUCUGCUUCCUUUCCUGCUGUUUCUGCUCGUGGUCAUGUAUAACCAUUAAGGCAUGACUAGUGAAGUACGUGGCUGACCAGUGCACAGCAGGUGUAUAUAAGUAUCAUACAUACCUGUACUGGUAUACAUACCAAUGCAAUCACUGCAUCCCUAACACACACAAAAAAAACAUUUAGGGGAAGCUGUCAUGCCAUGUAUUUAAUAAUUGCUUGAAUGAAAUGGGUUGGUUUUUUUUAAAUUAGUGAAUAAAUGAGUGUAUUGUGACAGUGUAGGAUAAAGUUAGCUCUUAUAUUUACUAAGAUUUGUGUUAACUCUGAAAAUCAAACAAUUAUGUCUGUCUUCCUUUC